GAUGAACGCUGGCGGCGUGCCUAAUACAUGCAAGUCGAGCGAACAGACGAGGAGCUUGCUCCUAUGACGUUAGCGGCGGACGGGUGAGUAACACGUGGAUAACCUACCUAUAAGACUGGGAUAACUUCGGGAAACCGGAGCUAAUACCGGAUAAUAUAUUGAACCGCAUGGUUCAAUAGUGAAAGACGGUUUUGCUGUCACUUAUAGAUGGAUCCGCGCCGCAUUAGCUAGUUGGUAAGGUAACGGCUUACCAAGGCAACGAUGCGUAGCCGACCUGAGAGGGUGAUCGGCCACACUGGAACUGAGACACGGUCCAGACUCCUACGGGAGGCAGCAGUAGGGAAUCUUCCGCAAUGGGCGAAAGCUUGACGGAGCAACGCCGCGUGAGUGAUGAAGGUCUUCGGAUCGUAAAACUCUGUUAUUAGGGAAGAACAAAUGUGUAAGUAACUAUGCACGUCUUGACGGUACCUAAUCAGAAAGCCACGGCUAACUACGUG
rnacentral:rRNA from 1 species